AACUUUAUUGAAAUGAUGAAAUAUUAAUGCAAACAUAGAGUCAAGCUCUGAGUACCGCUCAAAAAGACGUACAGGGACGAGAUCUUGCUUUCUUAACUUCUGAUUCAAUAAUU
rfam:Hanseniaspora uvarum DSM 2768 Contig_5, whole genome shotgun sequence.